GAUGAACGCUAGCUACAGGCUUAACACAUGCAAGUCGAGGGACCGGCGCACGGGUGAGUAACACGUAUCCAACCUGCCCUUUACUCGGGGAUAGCCUUUCGAAAGAAAGAUUAAUACCCGAUAUAACGGAUGGGGAUGCGUUGCAUUAGGUUGUUGGUGAGGUAACGGCUCACCAAGCCUUCGAUGGGUAGGGGUUCUGAGAGGAAGGUCCCCCAGAUUGGAACUGCGGUCCGGUCCACUCUCCUAGGGGGGGGAGGGGUGAGGAAUAUUGGGCGCUGAGGCCUGGCCUGACCCUGCCAAGUAGCGUGAAGGAGGAAGCCUUAUGGAUGGUAAAUUUCUUUGAUAGAAGAAUCUUUAUUAUAUGAAUAAGGAUCGGCUAACUCCGUGCCAGCAGCCGCGGUAAUAC
rnacentral:rRNA from 1 species